rnacentral:rRNA from 1 species
AGCGAACGCUGGCGGCAGGCUUAACACAUGCAAGUCGAGCGGGCGUAGCAAUACGUCAGCGGCAGACGGGUGAGUAACGCGUGGGAACAUACCUCUUGGUUCGGAACAACACAGGGAAACUUGUGCUAAUACCGGAUAAGCCCUUACGGGGAAAGAUUUAUCGCCGAGAGAUUGGCCCGCGUCUGAUUAGCUAGUUGGUGAGGUAACGGCUCACCAAGGCGACGAUCAGAGCUGGUCUGAGAGGAUGAUCAGCCACAUUGGGACUGAGACACGGCCCAAACUCCUACGGGAGGCAGCAGUGGGGAAUAUUGGACAAUGGGCGCAAGCCUGAUCCAGCCAUGCCGCGUGAGUGAUGAAGGCCCUAGGGUGUAAAGCUCUUUUGUGCGGGAAGAUAAUGACGGUACCGCAAGAAUAAGCCCCGGCUAACUUCGUGCCAGCAGCCGCU